ACGCGCAGAACCUUACCGGCCCUUGACAUCCUAUGACCGGUAGAGAGAUUUACCUUCCACUUCGGUGGCAUAGAGACAGGUGCUGCAUGGCUGUCGUCAGCUCGUGUCGUGAGAUGUUGGGUUAAGUCCCGCAACGAGCGCAACCCUCGCCUUUAGUUGCCAUCAUUUAGUUGGGCACUCUAGAGGGACUGCCGGUGAUAAGCCGGAGGAAGGUGGGGAUGACGUCAAGUCCUCAUGGCCCUUACAGGCUGGGCUACACACGUGCUACAAUGGCGGUGACAGUGGGAUGCGAAGGCGCGAGCCCUGGCAAAUCUCAAAAAGCCGUCUCAGUUCGGAUUGCACUCUGCAACUCGGGUGCAUGAAGGUGGAAUCGCUAGUAAUCGCGGAUCAGAACGCUGCGGUGAAUACGUUCCCGGGCCUUGUACACACCGCCCGUCACACCAUGGGAGUUGGCUUUACCCGAAGGCAUUUCGCUAACCGCAAGGAGGCAGA
rnacentral:rRNA from 1 species